CCUACGGGUGGCAGCAGUGGGGAAUAUUGGACAAUGGGGGGAACCCUGAUCCAGCCAUGCCGCGUGUGUGAAGAAGGCCCUCGGGUUGUAAAGCACUUUCAGUGAGGAAGAACGCCUGGUGGUUAAUACCCAUCAGGAAAGACAUCACUCACAGAAGAAGCACCGGCUAACUCCGUGCCAGCAGCCGCGGUAAUACGGAGGGUGCGAGCGUUAAUCGGAAUUACUGGGCGUAAAGCGCGCGUAGGUGGCUUGAUAAGCCGGUUGUGAAAGCCCCGGGCUCAACCUGGGAACGGCAUCCGGAACUGUCAAGCUAGAGUGCAGGAGAGGAAGGUAGAAUUCCCGGUGUAGCGGUGAAAUGCGUAGAGAUCGGGAGGAAUACCAGUGGCGAAGGCGGCCUUCUGGACUGACACUGACACUGAGGUGCGAAAGCGUGGGUAGCAAACAGGCUUAGAUACCCCAGUAGUC
rnacentral:rRNA from 1 species